UAUGCUAUGCUAGUAGUAUGU
rnacentral:piRNA from 1 species